GAUGAACGCUAGCUACAGGCUUAACACAUGCAAGUCGAGGGGUAACAAGAGGAAAGCUUGCUUUUCUUGUUGACGACCGGCGCACGGGUGAGUAACGCGUAUCCAACCUGCCUAUAACUAGGGAAUAACCUUGCGAAAGUAAGACUAAUACCCUAUGAUUUCCUUUGAUGACGUCGGAUUAGGAAUAAAGAUUUAUCGGUUAUAGAUGGGGAUGCGUCUGAUUAGCUUGUUGGCGGGGUAACGGCCCACCAAGGCAACGAGCAGUUGGGGUUCUGAGGAGAAGGUCACCCACAUGGGAACUGCGAUCUGGUCCAACCUCCGACGUGAGGCAGCAGUGAGGAAUAUUGGUCAAUGGGCGGAAGCCUGAACCAGACAAGUAGCGUGCAGGAUGGCGGCUCUAUCGGUUGUAAACUGCUUUUAUACAGGAAUAAAGUUAGCCACGUGUGGUUAUUUGUAGGUACUGUAUGAAUAAGGACCGGCUCAGUCCGUGCCAGCCGCCGCGGUAA
rnacentral:rRNA from 1 species